CCUACGGGCGGCUGCAGUGGGGAAUAUUGGACAAUGGGCGAAAGCCUGAUCCAGCCAUGCCGCGUGUGUGAAGAAGGCCUUCGGGUUGUAAAGCACUUUCAGUGGGGAAGAAAGCCUAGGGGCUAAUACCCUCGAGGAAGGACAUCACCCACAGAAGAAGCACCGGCUAACUCCGUGCCAGCAGCCGCGGUAAUACGGAGGGUGCGAGCGUUAAUCGGAAUUACUGGGCGUAAAGCGCGCGUAGGCGGUCUGAUAAGCCGGUUGUGAAAGCCCCGGGCUCAACCUGGGAACGGCAUCCGGAACUGUCAGGCUAGAGUGCAGGAGAGGAAGGUAGAAUUCCCGGUGUAGCGGUGAAAUGCGUAGAGAUCGGGAGGAAUACCAGUGGCGAAGGCGGCCUUCUGGACUGACACUGACGCUGAGGUGCGAAAGCGUGGGUAGCAAACAGGAUUAGAUACCCGGGUAGUC
rnacentral:rRNA from 1 species